AUCAGAUUUUGCUUCAAAAAUUUUGGACCUUUGUUACUAGGUACAUAAACAUCUGAAGUGUUUAUUGGAGCUCUUUUCCUAGAACUGAUAAUUGGAUUCAUGGUAUUCUGGAGAACAAGGAAGAAAACUGAAGCCCAGAAAGCUUAAUAUAUUACCCAAAGAGUUAGUCCACAUUGAACUGGGAGUUAAUCCUUGUCUGUCUGGCUGGAAAGCUUUUGCUCUGUAUCUUGGAUGAAUAAACUAAACCUUAGGCAAUCUUCCUAGAAGAAACCAUAUAACGACUCCUAUAUUGGAAGCUAAAUUACAACACAAAGAUUGCUUGGUGAGCAUGUGAUCCAAACAGGGCAAGAUGAAGACCUUUAGAGGCCACAAGCAUUUUAGUGUGCCUCCCAACUUCCCUUAUAUUAUUCAAAAUAUAAACAAUAAAAUCUACAAAGAUAUGAAAGAAGUCCA
rnacentral:lncRNA from 1 species